AUGUGCUUAAAUUUUGUUUGUUUUAUUUAUAGAUUAAAGAAGUCCAGUCUUGCACGUUCUAACACUUGGGUUUUUUUUAUAAUAGGUGAAUCUGAUGCCAAAUCAAUAUCGGCUAUACAUCAAAGAUUUGAAACCAAAUGUUAUUUAUCCUUUUUGAAUCAAAUUAUUUGUAUAACUUACUAA